rnacentral:rRNA from 1 species
UAAUAACUUAACGAAUCGCAUGGCCUUGCGCCGGCGAUGGUUCAUUCAAAUUUCUGCCCUAUCAACUUUCGAUGGUAGGAUAGUGGCCUACCAUGGUGGCAACGGGUAACGGGGAAUUAGGGUUCGAUUCCGGAGAGGGAGCCUGAGAAACGGCUACCACAUCCAAGGAAGGCAGCAGGCGCGCAAAUUACCCAAUCCCGAUACGGGGAGGUAGUGACAAUAAAUACUGAUACGGGGCUCUUUUGGGUCUCGUAAUUGGAAUGAGAACAAUUUAAAUCCCUUAACGAGGAACAAUUGGAGGGCAAGUCUGGUGCCAGCAGCUGCGGUAAUUCCAGCUCCAAUAGCGUAUAUUAAAGUUGUUGCAGUUAAAAAGCUCGUAGUAGAACCUUGGGUCUGGCUGGCCGGUCCGCCUCACCGCGAGUACUGGUCCGGCUGGACCUUUCCUUCUGGGGAACCUCAUGGCCUUUACUGGCUGUGGGGGGAACCAGGACUUUUAC